GAAAAGAAGUAAUGGACAUAUCAAUUUAUUAUCCGCGUUAUCGGACAAUUCUUACUAAUAUCUCACAAACUGAAAGUGUCUAUGACAGUACAUCUCCAACAGAAGAAGGAAUGAUAAUUUAUUCAGUUGUGACACCAAUUAUUUGCGCUUUUGGGAUAUUCGGAAACACUAUCUCACUUUUCGUUUUAAAUAGAAGAGAACUUAAGGGUUCUGUCUACGUCUACUUGGCAGUUUUAGCUUUUGUGGAUCUUUGCAGUGCAAUUUUACUUUUCUUCAGCGGAUUGAGUUGUGGCGUAUUUUUUGAGAAAGUUAAUUGGCCCGUGUAUGAUGUUCUUUUCGGAAUACCUUUGUCUAUUCUGUUCAAUACGA